UACGGAGGGUGCAAGCGUUAUCCGGAUUCACUGGGUUUAAAGGGUGCGUAGGUGGGUUGGUAAGUCAGUGGUGAAAUCUCUGAGCUUAACUCAGAAACUGCCAUGGAUACUAUCUGUCUUGAAUAUUGUGGAGGUAAGCGGAAUAUGUCAUGUAGCGGUGAAAUGCUUAGAUAUGACAUAGAACACCAAUUGCGAAGGCAGCUUACUACACAGUUAUUGACGCUGAGGCACGAAAGCGUGGGGAUCAAACAGG
rnacentral:rRNA from 1 species